rnacentral:rRNA from 1 species
AGUACAUGAUUCCACGCUGCCAAGAAAAGCGUCUAGAGAGAGAAGUAGUGCCCGUACCGCAAACCGACACAGGUAGGUGAGGAGAGAAUCCUAAGGCCGGCGGAAGAAUUACAGUUAAGGAACUCGGCAAAUUGACCCCGUAAGUUCGCGAGAAGGGGUGCCUACGAGAGUAGGCCGCAGAGAAUAGGCCCAAGCAACUGUUUAGCAAAAACACAGGUCUCUGCUAAAGCGUAAGCUGAUGUAUAGGGGCUGACGCCUGCCCGGUGCUGGAAGGUUAAGGGGAACACUUAGCGCAAGCGAAGGUGUGAACUUAAGCCCCAGUAAACGGCGGCCGUAACUAUAACGGUCCUAAGGUAGCGAAAUUCCUUGUCAGGUAAGUUCUGACCCGCACGAAUGGCGUAAUGACUUGGGCACUGUCUCAACUGUAAAUCCGGCGAAGUUGUAGUGCGAGUGAAGAUGCUCGCUACCCGCGAUUGGACGGAAAGACCCCGUAGAGCUUUACUGUAGCUUAGCAUUGAGUUUUGGUAUUGUCUGUACAGGAUAGGUGGGAGACUAGGAAACCAGGGCGUCAGCCUUGGUGGAGUCAACCUUGGGAUACCACCCUGACAGUACUGAAAUUCUAACUGGCGGCCAUGAAUCUGGUCACAGGACAUUGUUAGGUGGGCAGUUUGACUGGGGCGGUCGCCUCCUAAAAAGUAACGGAGGCGCCCAAAGGUUCCCUCAGAACGGUCGGAAAUCGUUCGAAGAGUGCAAAGGCAGAAGGGAGCCUGACUGCGACACCCACAAGUGGAGCAGGGACGAAAGUCGGGCUUAGUGAUCCGGUGGUACCUCGUGGGAGGGCCAUCGCUCAACGGAUAAAAGCUACCUCGGGGAUAACAGGCUGAUCUCCCCCAAGAGUCCACAUCGACGGGGAGGUUUGGCACCUCGAUGUCGGCUCGUCGCAUCCUGGGGCUGAAGUAGGUCCCAAGGGUUGGGCUGUUCGCCCAUUAAAGCGGCACGCGAGCUGGGUUCAGAACGUCGUGAGACAGUUCGGUCCCUAUCCGUCGCGGGCGUAGGAAAUUUGAGAGGAGCUGUCCUUAGUACGAGAGGACCGGGAUGGACUGACCUCUGGUGUACCAGUUGUUCCGCCAGGAGCACAGCUGGGUAGCUAAGUCGGGAAUGGAUAAACGCUGAAAGCAUCUAAGCGUGAAGCCAACCUCAAGAUGAGAUUUCCCAUAGCGUAAGCUAGUAAGAUCCCUUGAAGAACACAAGGUUGAUAGGUCGGGGGUGUAAGCAUGGUAACAUGUUCAGCUGACCGAUACUAAUAGAUCGAGGGCUUGACCAAAU